rnacentral:rRNA from 1 species
GAUGAACGCUGGCGGCGUGCCUAAUACAUGCAAGUCGAGCGAAUGGAUUAAGAGCUUGCUCUUAUGAAGUUAGCGGCGGACGGGUGAGUAACACGUGGGUAACCUGCCCAUAAGACUGGGAUAACUCCGGGAAACCGGGGCUAAUACCGGAUAACAUUUUGAACCGCAUGGUUCGAAAUUGAAAGGCGGCUUCGGCUGGUACUUUUGGAUGGACCCGCGUCGCAUUAGCUAGUUGGUGAGGUAACGGCUCACCAAGGCAACGAUGCGUAGCCGACCUGAGAGGGUGAUCGGCCACACUGGGACUGAGACACGGCCCAGACUCCUACGGGAGGCAGCAGUAGGGAAUCUUCCGCAAUGGACGAAAGUCUGACGGAGCAACGCCGCGUGAGUGAUGAAGGCUUUCGGGUCGUAAAACUCUGUUGUUAGGGAAGAACAAGUGCUAGUUGAAUAAGCUGGCACCUUGACGGUACCUAACCAGAAAGCCACGGCUAACUACGUGCCAGCAGCCGCCGUAA